rnacentral:rRNA from 1 species
AUUGAACGCUGGCGGCAGGCUUAACACAUGCAAGUCGAGCGAGCGGCGGACGGGUGAGUAAUGUCUGGGAAACUGCCUGAUGGAGGGGGAUAACUACUGGAAACGGUAGCUAAUACCGCAUACCAUCAGCUGUGCCCAGAUGGGAUUAGCUAGUAGGUGGGGUAAUGGCUCACCUAGGCGAGGAUCCCUAGCUGGUCUGAGAGGAUGACCGGCCACACGGGAACGGAGACACGGUCAUGACUCCUACGAGAGGCAGCAGGUGGGAAUAGUGCACAAUGGGCGCGAGGAUGAUGCAGCCAGGCCGCGUGUGUUAAGAAGGCCUUGGGGUUGUAAAGAACGUUCAGCGAGUAGGCGUUACUCGCAGAAGAAGCACCGGCUAACUCCGUGCCAGCCGCCGCGGUAAUAC